rnacentral:rRNA from 1 species
AUUGAACGCUGGCGGCAUGCUUAACAUAUGCAAGUCGAACGCGAAAGUCCUUCGGGGCGAGUAGAGUGGCGGACGGGUGAGUAACGCGUGGGAAUCUACCCUAGAGCGGGGGACAACCCGGGGAAACCCGGGCUAAUACCGCAUACGUCCUACGGGAGAAAGAGGGCCUCUGCUUGCACGCUCUCACUCCAGGAUGAGCCCACGUCCGAUUAGCUAGUUGGUAGGGUAAAGGCCUACCAAGGCCACGAUCGGUAGCUGGUCUGAGAGGAUGAUCAGCCACACUGGGACUGAGACACGGCCCAGACUCCUACGGGAGGCAGCAGUGGGGAAUAUUGGACAAUGGGCGCAAGCCUGAUCCAGCAAUGCCGCGUGUGUGAAGAAGGCCUGCGGGUUGUAAAGCACUUUCAGUGGGGAAGAACAGAUUCGGGUCAAUACCCCGGAGCCCUGACGUUACCCACAGAAGAAGCACCGGCUAACUCCGUGCCAGCAGCCGCGGUAAAGUGUG